rnacentral:rRNA from 1 species
UAACUCCCAAACCCCUUGUGAACAUACCUAUCGUUGCCUCGGCAGGGCCCUUCUCUCCCGUUUCCUCCACCCCUCCUUUCCAUGGGCGGGGUAGCGGUCCCCGGGGGCGGGGUAUCCCAAACCUGCCGGUGGCCCUUCUAAACUCUUUGCCUCUCAAGCAUUGGAACUCUGAAAAAUCAUAACGAAAUACGUUAAAACUUUCAACAACGGAUCUCUUGGUUCUGGCAUCGAUGAAGAACGCAGCGAAAUGCGAUAAGUAAUGUGAAUUGCAGAAUUCAGUGAAUCAUCGAAUCUUUGAACGCACAUUGCGCCCAUUAGUAUUCUAGUGGGCAUGCCUGUUCGGGCGUCAUUUCAACCCCUUAAGCCCUGUUGCUUAGUGUUGGGAGACCACCGCGCCUCGCCGCCGUGGCUCCCCAAAGUGAGUGGCGUGGUCGGUUCGCACCCCGGACGUAGUAGAAUCUCUCUUUCUCGCCCGCGGUUGUGUGCCGGAUCCCCUGCCGUAAAACACCCCCUAUUAUCUCAAGGUUGACCUCGGAUCAGGUAGGAAUACCCGCUGAACUUAAGCAUAUCAAUAAGCGGAGGA